rnacentral:rRNA from 1 species
AUUGAACGCUGGCGGCAUGCCUUACACAUGCAAGUCGAACGGCAGCACGGGCUUCGGUCUGGUGGCGAGUGGCGAACGGGCGAGUAAUGUAUCGGAACGUACCCUUCAGUGGGGGAUAACUAUCCGAAAGGAUAGCUAAUACCGCAUAUUCUCUGAGGAGGAAAGCGGGGGAUCGCAAGACCUCGCGCUGAUGGAGCGGCCGAUAUCAGAUUAGCUAGUUGGUGGGGUAAAGGCCUACCAAGGGGACGAUCUGUAGCGGGUCUGAGAGGAUGAUCCGCCCAACUGGGACGGAGACACGGCCCAGACUCCUACGGGAGGCAGCAGUGGGGAAUUUUGGACAAUGGGGGCAACCCUGAUCCAGCCAUGCCGCGUGAGUGAAGAAGGCCUUCGGGUUGUAAAGCUCUUUCGGCCGGGAAGAAAUCGCGUGAGUUAAUACCUUGCGUGGAUGACGGUACCGGAAUAAGAAGCACCGGCUAACUACGUGCCAGCAGCCGCCGUAAUAC